rnacentral:rRNA from 1 species
GAUGAACGCUGGCGGCGUGCUUAACACAUGCAAGUCGAACGAUGAUCCGGUGCUUGCACCGGGGAUUAGUGGCGAACGGGUGAGUAACACGUGAGUAACCUGCCCUUGACUCUGGGAUAAGCCUGGGAAACUGGGUCUAAUACCGGAUAUGACUCCUCAUCGCAUGGUGGGGGGUGGAAAGCUUUUGCGGUUUUGGAUGGACUCGCGGCCUAUCAGCUUGUUUGUGAGGUAAUGGCUCACCAAGGCGACGACGGGUAGCCGGCCUGAGAGGGGGACCGGCCACACUGGGACUGAGACACGGCCCAGACUCCUACGGGAGGCAGCAGUGGGGAAUAUUGCACAAUGGGCGGAAGCCUGAUGCAGCGACGCCGCGUGAGGGAUGACGGCCUUCGGGUUGUAAACCUCUUUCAGGAGGGAAGAAGCGAGAGUGACGGUACCUGCAGAAGAAGCGCCGGCUAACUACGUGCCAGCAGCCGCCGCCGUAA